rnacentral:rRNA from 1 species
CUACCGGGGUAUCUAAUCCUGUUUGCUCCCCACGCUUUCGCACAUGAGCGUCAGUUUCGGGCCAGUUGGCCGCCUUCGCCACUGGUGUUCUUCCUAAUAUCUACGAAUUUCACCUCUACACUAGGAAUUCCGCCAACCUCUCCCGAACUCGAAGACAGACAGUAUCAAAGGCAAUUCCGAGGUUGAGCCUCGGGAUUUCACCCCUGACUUAUCAAUCCGCCUGCGUGCGCUUUACGCCCAGUAAUUCCGAACAACGCUAGCCCCCUUCGUAUUACCGCGGCUGCUGGCAC